CCGACGGCUGAAGGAGAGAUCCAUUUGAGGUACACUUGAAAUACACUGUCUAUGUUCUUGACAAUGGAAGAAGGAGGCUUUUUCUAUUAUUCAACUUUUGUUUACGGAUUAAAUGCUCAACAUGGUGUUAAUUUAAGCACACCUACGUCUUUUAGCAAUCCUGUUGCUGGAGGUAAUAAUAGUAUGGACAUGGGGGUAGUUGUUCGCUCUAGCAGACCUUUCGCAAUGGUUGAUGAAAUUACAAAAGGAUCUUUAGCAGCAGCAGAUGGCUUACAGCUUGGAAAUCAAAUUGUAAAAUUUGGGAAUAUGAAAAUAGGUGAGAACUUGGUACAGAAGCUUACAACUGAAGCUUAGAUAAAUCAGAGCCAUGCAAUGCUUGUGGUAGUUAUGGGGCAAGGUGUUUUCAUAAAUUUGACCAUAAAACCCAACUCUUGGCAAUGUCAUGACCUACUUGGUAAACCGACAAUGAGAAGUUAGCUGAUGAUGAAGAGGAAACUAAGGGGAAGUACAUCCAUGGUGAUGUAUUCAAGUACCUGAAAUACAAAUUUUUGUUUAUAAUAAAUGAUGGUUCAACCUUAGUAUCCUUUAUUAUAUUUUCCAA